rnacentral:rRNA from 1 species
UACAGAGGGUGCAAGCGUUAAUCGGAAUUACUGGGCGUAAAGCGUGCGUAGUCGGUUAUUUAAGUCGGAUGUGAGAUCCCCGGGCUCAACCUGGGAAUUGCAUUCGAUACUGGAUAGCUAGAGUUCGGCAGAGGGAAGCGGAAUUUCUGGUGUAGCGGUGAAAUGCGUAGAUAUCAGAAGGAACAUCAGUGGCGAAAGCGGCUUCCUGGACCAGAACUGACGAUCAGGCACGAAAGCGUGGGGAGCAAACAGG